rnacentral:rRNA from 1 species
AUUGAACGCUGGCGGCAUGCCUUACACAUGCAAGUCGAACGGCAGCACGGGUGCUUGCACCUGGUGGCGAGUGGCGAACGGGUGAGUAAUACAUCGGAACAUGUCCUGUAGCGGGGGAUAGCCCGGCGAAAGCCGGAUUAAUACCGCAUACGAUCUACGGAUGAAAGCGGGGGACCUUCGGGCCUCGCGCUAUAGGGUUGGCCGAUGGCUGAUUAGCUAGUUGGUGGGGUAAAGGCCUACCAAGGCGACGAUCAGUAGCUGGUCUGAGAGGACGACCAGCCACACUGGGACUGAGACACGGCCCAGACUCCUACGGGAGGCAGCAGUGGGGAAUUUUGGACAAUGGGCGAAAGCCUGAUCCAGCAAUGCCGCGUGUGUGAAGAAGGCCUUCGGGUUGUAAAGCACUUUUGUCCGGAAAGAAAUCCUUGGCCCUGAUACGGUCGGGGGAUGACGGUACCGGAAGAAUAAGCACCGGCUAACUACGUG